rnacentral:rRNA from 1 species
CAGAGGGAUAGCCCGGAGAAAUUCGGAUUAAUACCUCAUAACACUUCAAAAUCGCAUGAUUUUGAUUUUAAAGUUCCGACGGUUACAGAUGGGCAUGCGUGACAUUAGCUAGUUGGUGAGGUAACGGCUCACCAAGGCCACGAUGUCUAUGGGGUCUAAAAGGAUGGUCCCACACACUGGUACUGAGACACGGACCAGACUCCUACGGGAGGCAGCAGUGAGGAAUAUUGGUCAAUGGGCGCAAGCCUGAACCAGCCAUGCCGCGUGCAGGAAUACAGCCCUAUGGGUUUUAAACUGCUUUUCUGUUAGACGAAACCUCUCUACGUGUAGAGAGUUGCCGGUACAGCAGGAAUAAGCAUCGGCUAACUCCGUGCCAGCAGCCGCGGUAAUACGGAGGAUGCAGGCGUUAUCCGGAUUUAUUAGGUUUAAAGGGUGUGUAGGCGGGAUGAUAAGUCAGUGGUGAAAUCCAACAGCUUAACUGUUGAACUGCCAUUGAUACUGUUGUUCUUGAAUAUAGUUGAGGUAGGCGGAAUGUGUAAUGUAGCGGUGAAAUGCUUAGAUAUUACACAGAACACCGAUUGCGAAGGCAGCUUACUAAGCUAUUAUUGACGCUGAUGCACGAAAGCGUGGGGAGCGAACAGGAUUAGAUACCCUGGUAGUCCACGCUGUAAACGAUGAUUACUCGUUGUUGGCAAUACAUGGUCAGCGACUGAGCGAAAGCAUUAAGUAAUCCACCUGGGGAGUACGUUCGCAAGAAUGAAACUCAAAGGAAUUGACGGGGGCCCGCACAAGCGGAGGAACAUGUGGUUUAAUUCGAUGAUACGCGAGGAACCUUACCUGGGCUUAAAUGUAGAAUGACCGCUUCCGAAAGGGAGCUUUUCUUCGGACAAUUUACAAGGUGCUGCAUGGCUGUCGUCAGCUCGUGCCGUGAGGUGUCGGGUUAAGUCCCAUAACGAGCGCAACCCCUAUCACUAGUUGCCAGCGGAUCAUGCCGGGGACUCUAGUGAGACUGCCACCGUAAGGUGUGAGGAAGGUGGGGAUGACGUCAAAUCAGCACGGCCCUUACGUCCAGGGCUACACACGUGUUACAAUGGCCGAGACAAAGGGCAGCUACCUGGUGACAGGAUGCCAAUCUCAAAAUUCGGUCUUAGUUCGGAUUGAAGUCUGCAACUCGACUUCAUGAAGUUGGAUUCGCUAGUAAUCGUAUAUCAG